GACGAACGCUGGCGGCGCGCUUAACACAUGCAAGUCGAACGGAAAGGCCUGCUUUCCCUUGUGGAUUGCGGGUACUCGAGUGGCGAACGGGUGAGUAACACGUGAGUGAUCUGCCCCCAACUUGGGUAUAAGCCUGGGAAACUGGGUCUAAUUCCCGAUAGGACUGCAGGGUGGUGCCUGUGGUGGAAAACGAUUUUCUAGUGGUUGGGGAUGAGCUCGCGGCCUAUCAGCUUGUUGGUGGGGUAAUGGCCUACCAAGGCGGCGACGGGUAGCCGGCCUGAGAGGGUGGACGGCCACAUUGGGACUGAGAUACGGCCCAGACUCCUACGGGAGGCAGCAGUGGGGAAUAUUGCACACUGGGCGGAAGCCUGAUGCAGCGACGCCGCGUGGGGGAUGACGGCCUUCGGGUUGUAAACUCCUUUCGACCGCGAGGAAGCCACCUGGUUGGAAGGGUGGUGACGGUAGUGGUAGAAGAAGCACCGGCUAACUACGUG
rnacentral:rRNA from 1 species